rnacentral:rRNA from 1 species
AGAGUUUGAUCCUGGCUCAGAAUGAACGUUGGCGGCGUGGAUUAGGCAUGCGAGUCGCGCGAUAAUGUAGCAAUACAGGACAGCGGCGAAAGGGAGAGGACAACAUAGGAAUCUGCCCUGGGGUCGGGGAUAGCGUCGGGAAACUGACGGUAAUACCCGAUAAUAUCCAAGGAUCAAAGGAGCAAUUUGCCCCGGGAUGAGCCUAUGCCCCAUUAGCUAGUUGGCGGUGUAAUGGACCACCAAGGCUGUGAUGGGUAGCUGGUGUGAGAGCACGACCAGUCUCACUGGCACUGAGACACUGGCCAGACACCUACGGGUGGCUGCAGUCGAGAAUCUUCGGCAAUGGACGAAAGUCUGACCGAGCGACGCCGCGUGUGGGAUGAAGGUCUUCGGAUUGUAAACCACUGUCGAGGGGGAUUAAGGGAAACUUGAAAGAACCCUGGAGGAAGGGGAGGCUAAGCUCGUGCCAGCAGCCGCGGUAAGACGAGCUCCCCAAAC